UGGGGAAUCUUGGACAAUGGGCGCAAGCCUGAUCCAGCGACGCCGCGUGGACGAUGAAGGCCUUCGGGUUGUAAAGUCCUUUUGCCGGGGACGAUGAUGACGGUACCCGGCGAAUAAGCACCGGCUAACUCCGUGCCAGCAGCCGCGGUAAGACGGAGGGUGCUAGCGUUGUUCGGAAUUACUGGGCGUAAAGGGCGCGUAGGCGGCCGAUCAAGUCGGGUGUGAAAGCCCGGGGCUCAACCCCGGAACGGCACUCGAAACUGAUUGGCUGGAGACCGGGAGAGGAGGGUGGAAUACCCAGUGUAGAGGUGAAAUUCGUAGAUAUUGGGUGGAACACCGGUGGCGAAAGCGGCUCUCUGGCCCGGAUCUGACGCUGAGGCGCGAAAGCGUGGGGAGCAAACAGGAUUAGAUACCCCCGUAGUCC
rnacentral:rRNA from 1 species